GCAGCGGGGCUCUCGCCGCUCACGUUGGAGGCCAGGGGAGCAGGGGCGGGGGUGGGGGUAGGCGCGGAGGUGGAGGGAGCCGACUCGUCCUGCGGGGGAGGCAAGGGAGCACAACUGUCAGGAAACGGGCAGUGAAGGCACAAGGCGGAGAAGGCGGGGAGGGCGCGACGUGGCCGGCGCUAAUGCCAGACUCAGUUUUGCGUGAGCCUGGCAGAAAACGUAACGCCUCAUGCUCACCCUACUCACGCAUGAAACACUAUAUUGCUCCCAUCUACAUUGCCGAACCCUUGAGAACCUGGCUCACCUGGGGAGCCGCACGGAUGGGGGCCAUCCGAGUCUUGACGACGAAGCGGCAAGCAGGGCGCUGGGUCGGGGCCACAGCCAUGCGACGACCAGCAAUCAUGGUAGCGGACUGCAUCUUUUCGAAGUGGUUUCAAGCCGAAAGGCGAAAUAACAGAUGCAGGAUGUUACGGGGUGUGGAGUAGUGUUGUGGAGUGAGCGAUGAAGUAAGUUAUGCAGUGCAGUGAAAUCGUAAUGUAUUUAUAGCUUGGGGAUGCCUGCAUGGGCCACACAGUUGGCGCUGGUCCGGAGCCUCAGAGACCGAGCGGCCCAGAACGCUCGCAGCCGCAGAAUCGCGGCUUUAACGAAGCUGCAACCACCGGGGUCCACGCCGGCUUCGAUACAUUCUACGUCAAUAAUAGCAAAUAGAAGCUACAUACAUAAACACGGUAACGAAGUUGUCAGUGCUGGCCCGGUGCAGUCUGUGCAGUCCGGGGUCGGGCCACGGGUCGGGCCAGGGGAAUCCCGACUCCGGGCGCAUCAACCCCCGGCUCGCCGGGGCCUUCGCAAAGAAUCUAUGUCUCAAGUGCAAACCAUGCAAGUCCUGUGCCACAUCAACAUGGUAUGCACGCAGCGGUCCCCGCAGUCCAACAGCUGCGUUGGCAGGCAGCAAGCGCCCUACGGUAAUACGGUAGGUACAUCGCACGCAUAUGGCGGCACAGCUGCCUAUGAUAGACAGCUGCAAGCAUCGGAUGGAGCUACGCACAAGCUACUUUCCGUACAUUUCCCUGCUCCAUCACACCCCCCUUCUGUGGAUGACUCAGGUCUUUCCACCUUCAGUACCCAAGGGAACCCCCAGCCCCACGCCCCAGCCCCUCCGUCGUACUCCCGUCGUCCACGCAGUGCCUGGCAGUGCCGGAUGCCUGGGCCAGCCAACACGGGUGCUACCCCUCAUCCCACACACCUGAAUGUCCAUGCGGGGGCUGGCUCGAGAUGAGGAGUACACACGGUAAUACCGAUCACGCCCACUGUUUGCUUGCGCAUUCGCAUGCACAGUGUCAACCCGUGUUCCCCUUGUCCUUUCGUUGACACCAAAUCCUAGUGGCACCAAGCACAAUUAAUAUGGAGAUGCGCCAACCACCAUGACAAAGUUACUGCCCGAAGUCGUUCGCACUGUCCAGUGUCUGGUUACGACAGCAUGCGUGUAUUCAUCACGCUGGCAAACCCGUGCCAAUUUUGCCAUGGCAGGUGGCGGCUGGCACGUGUCAUUGUCGCAGGGACACUGACGUGGACAGAUGCGCCAUGUUUGCUCCGCUCGGCUAUGUAAAACAUACUGAUGCACCCGUGAAAGGUCCUAGAGUUUCCGGAUCCCUGGGCCCCUUGCAUAAUAGACAGGCGCAGGUAUCCGACCUGGUGUGAGGUAGACUGCGUGAGCGUGGGGCACCGGAAUCGUGACCGGAAUACCGUCGCGGGUACGCGUGCGUUGCAAGGGAGAGUACACUGCAUCACGUCUUCGUCACCAUAGUGGUUACAGUCUGUGUGUGCAAGCACACACGGUUGCGGGCUGCAUACUACUUACUCCACGCCAUCAAAAGAAUUCUCCAGCAGCCAUAGGCCGGCUGGCACUGCACUCAAUCUCUCGGGUCCUCUCACAUUUGCUUCCUACUCUGGGUCAGUCACACUCCGCUUGCAAGGCUAGUGCUCGCCAAAAUCGUCCCUCCUAACAGCUUCUCUCAUACACACGCUCUCACUUCAGGAACAAGACAUUAACACUUUAAAUACGCAGUCUGUGCUGGAAGCUUGCUGUGCCCUUUCGGUGACAGGCACUGCAUUACCCACGGCACACUCUCAAUCAACCACUCACGGAACAAGGCCGUAAACAGAAAACAAUGCGUGCAUCAAGCCGCACCAAUGCAGGGCGCCACUCUUUGCAGUUACCAGACACAUCUUCCCAACCACAGGGGCAGUGGCCGGUGCCUAACCAGUGCAUGGGGAAAAUACAAGGUCGUUGCUAACUAUAAUCCAAACCAGAAACAAGAAUCGCUCGGCUUGCAGCUGCAAAUCAGCAGCACAUUUAGCCCAGCAGGGCGGAGCCCUUCACCAGCUCCACGAUCAGCAGGCCAGCGAAGCCCAGCUGCGCGACGCGGCCCAGGGUCAGCUCGAGGCCGGGGGUGAAGGGGCCGAAGGAGCGGGAGUCCACGUUCAGAGAGUGCACCAUCUUGGGCACCAGGGUCGCCAUGGUGGUCAGCAGCACGACGGCGAAGAACAGCAGAGUGCUGGUGCCGAAGGGAGCCUCAACAAUUUCGCCGUCAACGUACUGCAGGGUUAAAGGAAGAGGAAGAAAGGCAAACAGGUCAGUGCACCGAGUAGGCGUAGAGCGGGUAGGAAAGAAGCUGUGCAUGCGACGCACAGUCUUGCAACAAGGCUUCGCAUACCCAAUGCUUGUAUUAAUCCUCACCUUGCCGGCGAUCUGGCUGAAGAUGGAUUGGUGGGUCAGAGACUCGGACACCACAGCGGCCACGAAGCCCAGCAUGGCGGAGCGGCCGUUGAUGGCCUCCUGGACGGGGCCCAGAAUGUUCAGGGUGGCAGCGGGGCUCUCGCCGCUCACGUUGGAGGCCAGGGGAGCAGGGGCGGGGGUGGGGGUAGGGGCGGAGGUGGACGGAGCCGACUCGUCCUGCGGGGAGGCAAGGGCAUGAGGGAGCACAAUUGUUAGGAAACGGGCGGUGAAGGCACAAGGCCACCGAGGCUGAGGACGGCGCGACGUGGCCAGCGCUCGCGCGCGCCUGCAGAAUACGUAACGCAUCUCGCUCCACCCGCUAAUUGCAUAAAACACUACGGUGCAUUGCUCCCACAUACAUUGC
rnacentral:lncRNA from 1 species